CACCCAUUUCUGCGACUCAGAAGCAGCUGGAACUCAUGCGGAGAAGUGGUGGCUGCAAGACUCUUUCUUGAGAUGCAGUAAAAGCUUUUUUCAGUGUUCACAGAUCGGUGAAAACAGAGGAGGCUGUGAAGAUUAGCGUCAACGAGAAUAGAGCCAUCUUUUUUAAGAUUACAACACGGCAAGUUCACCUGAAAAUAACAACAUGGAUAGUUCACCUGAAGUUACCCCAGAUGGCCAUGCAGGCUUUGGACAGCCGCCAUCAGUCCCACAGGCUCCUGACACAGAAGACCACAGGACAAAAACUGAAACCAGUCCAGUAAAUCCUUCUGUGCAUGGUGCCACAAACAGUAACGAACUGGACUGUCCAAUGGAAGACAAUUGGAUUGUGACCCCUGGUAUGAACACUCAGAGCUCCGGUGGUCCUGGUUCAAACCAGGGUCUUGUCCCAACAUGUGU